GCUUUAAAACCUAAAGAUUAACCGCUCAACAACAAAAGACUCCUCACGCUACAUCCUUACCGCUUCACAUACACAACCGCCUCUUCCCACAUGCCACAACCAUAGUUUUCUCCCCACAGGGAUUUGUUACUCACUGUUCCCCUACUUAUCUCACUUUUCAUACUCUAUCGAUUCAUCUGUAAUCUUUCAUCUCUAUUUUUAAUUUCCUUCAGCAACUUCUCGCUACCUUGACCUUUGUUAAAAUUCUUCAAACGAAACUCUCUCUAACUUCUUUGUUCUAUUUAUUUUUUUAGGGGAAAGGAAACUCUGGUUUAUUCACUACUAACCUCUAGGUUUUUCCCUCGCCACGGUUUUCCUCACCAAAUGCCAAUGAAGUCUAGAAAACAAAAUAUACUUUCACCCACUGUUUGUAAUCCUUUCAAAGCUAAUCUUUACCAUUUAUGCCAUUUUCUUAUUCUUCUAAAAUUGUUUACAUCCUAAUCUUACUGUAUAGGUAUGGAAAACCAAAGAUUGGGGUGCCAAAAUACCGUGAAGAGAUUGAGGUACGUCCAAAACUUCUUCACUACUAUACUUUUUGCACAAUUCAUAACCAUUGGUGUGAAUAUUCUGGAAUACUCUAAUUUUCUUCCAAAAUCAAUAACUAAGGAUGUAAACAUUAUGUUAAGAUUCUAAAACACAUUAAACUUUGUAAAAAAACAAAUAUUAUUCACUACUAUAUGAUUUUAACACAAUAUAACUAAUGUUUAAAUAUUAUGAAAUACUAUAAUUAUUUACCUCAUUACUGCUUUUUACUUGGAAGCAAAGUUCGACAACAAUGUCUUUAAAUGUUGAUUAUAUAUAUAGAUUAUUCCUACAUUAAUAUUACUAUAUUUGGCCUGCACAUUUCCUUUGCGUUCUGAUUGAAGUCCGAAAUAUGCAUUUAACAAAGCGACAAAAGCAAAAUGAUCAGAAACAUAUUUUUUCCAGAGCAAUAUUGUAAAACCAGAAAAUCUAUUCUGCAAUUUUCUUAUAUCUUGCUCUUUUCCUAUAUUCAAAAGACAUGCCUCUUUUUAAUCCUAAGUCAUGCCUCCUACUCGAUCUUCUUAUUUCUCUUCCUACAAAACUCACUCCUUCUACAGUAAUAUCUAUAAAUGUUAUUUUUUCGCGCUUAUAGUGGAUAACAACUGGAUGAAUCCUGAUAUCUUUAGACUAACUAAGGGGGAAAAGAGAGGUCACGCCUUCAAUAAUGAUAUCUAUAAAUAUUGUUUACAUAUAGUUUAGUAUUAUGGUGUUUAGACUGUACUAGAUUUUUAUUGUAGCCUUAUAUUUUGGUACUGCAUAGUUGUUCAACUUUCUGUUACUUCUCUUUGUCUAAAAAUCACGCAUUCCAUAAUAAUAUGUAUAAAUAUUUUUUAUAUAUAGUUUACUGAUAUGAAGUUUAAAUUGCCUUAACUUUUUAUCGUAGCCUCAGAAAAUGAUAUUGGAUUGUAGUUCAACUUCCUCCUCUAUUAGCAUUUCUUUUUCUACACUUUUAUGCUCUGCUUGCAGCGAAAUAUAUCAUGCAAUUAUCAAAGGUAAAUUUUUAUGCAUGCUGCAUUGCAUUUGUCAAUGUAACAAGUGCAACUAAAGAACUUGAAGUCUCCAUAUAUUUGAUGUAUCGAAAUAUCUCACAAAUGUGGAUUGAAUAUUUGAAAAAUAAACAAGUACAACUAUCAAUAAUGCAAAGAUUGACUUUCAAUAUAUUUGCGUAUGUAAAAAUAUUAUAUAUAUUAUUGCAUUUAUGACUUGUGAAUUACAUUAUUGUAGAUAAAUAGUUUAUAAUGUACUUUUCUGGACUCGUCAUUAGGUCAUCAUCCUCAGAAAAAUUUAUUCCACAUACAAUAUGUUAUUUUCAAGGUUGAAGUGAAGAUUUUCAGACUAUUAUGAGUGCAAAUUGGAUAUCCUUCUCUCAAAUAAUUUGCCAAAGUUGUUAUCAACAUCUAAAGACAACGCAAACCCGAUCAUUACAUAUGAUAUUGUGGAGUAAGGAACUUUACAAAGCGAAUAUUGUGACUUACUCUUGCAAUAACUUAUUACGAUUACAAUUGUUUGGUUAUCUUAUGUCAAGGGCUAUAUAUGGAGUAGAAAGAACAACUAUUUAAUCCGGUAUAUAAUAUUUUCACUGUAUGCAAGUCCAUUUCAUUCUAACUAUGUGUCUUAAAUAAACUAAGGUUAUCAAAAGUACUUUUACAAAUUAAAGUAUGUUGCCAUGUGUUUGCAGAUUCGAUUUAUUUAGCACUCAGUUAGUUCAAAUGGUAAACAACUUAAUGUUCACGGUUUGCAGGUUAGGACUUAUUUAUAGUCGUUGUUUAUAUAAAUCCAGAUAGAAACUUGCAUUUUGUAGUUAAUCUUAUGUUGCUCCUCUACCUUCCUCUCUUCCUAUUAUUUUUCAUAUAGCUGCUUUUCGGUUUAAAUAUGUAUUGCUACGUAGUAAAACAUUGUUCAAUAAUUCAUUUUUUUUGUUGUCUAAUUGAUGCCUAUAUGACACGAAAUGUAGUGGGGUGAUAGAAUUCGAGGGUCCACCAAACUAUAUAGAGAACCAUGUUCUCUAUUAGUUUUCACAGAUUACGCACACACAACAGUAAGUAAAUGACACUGAAAGUUUUUACGUGGAAAAUUACCAGUUCACGGGAUUAAAAACCACGACCUACCCAUAUAGGAUUUCAACUUCACUACUGAACAAACUUUUAGAUUACAACCUAUUGUAACCUAGGAAUUAACUUCUUAAUCGCUCACUAACUUGUAACAAUCCUAUUACAAGCCACUUUGUAUUACCUCUACUACAAAGACUUUACAACUCGACUAACUCUAGCUAAGACACAAACGCAAAGGUUUAUGAUUUACAAAAGGGUUUCCUACACAAUGAUUCUAAGUAAGCUAAGUAGGAAUUUCAAGUAAGAACUUUGACAAAGGUACAACUCAACUAAGGACAUAUAAUAACUUGAUAUGGGGAACUGGUCUGUAGCAGUGUUGUUCUUUGUUCUUGAUGCACUUGAGAAUCAUUUUCUGGAUGAUCAAUCACUGUGGGAGUGCUUGAGUGAAUUCUCCAAGUGUUCAAGUGAUGUUUUGUCUUUGGUUUAAUAUUAAUAUAACAUUGAUGACAUCACUUGAAUGAUGUAAGCAACUUGGGUGCAAGAUCUUUCCCAAUGCAGUUGAUUGCUGCAUUGUGUUGUAUUGUUGCGUAUGCAUGCAACCACUUUUUAGCUGUUGGAGGGUUGACUGGUAUGAUCACCAAGGGAACUGAUGUCCAUCUGUUCCCCUUAUUGAUUCUUGUGGGAGUGCUCGAGUGAAUUCUCUAAGUGUUCAAGUGAUGUUUUGUCUUUGGUUUAAUGUUAAUAUAACAUUGAUGGCAUCACUUGAAUGAUGUAAGCAACUUGGGUACAAGAUCCUUCCCAAUGCAGUUGACUGUUGCACUGUGUUGUACUGUUGCGUGUGCAGGCAGCCACUUUUCAGCUGUUGGAGUUGACUGGUACGAUCACCAGGGGAACUGAUGUCCAUUUGUUCCCCUUGUUGAUUCUUUAGCUUCUGAAAGACUGAUGAACCUCUCAAGCUUAAGUCUGGUUAUUUCCGCAUACUUGAGAAUGUGUAUCAUGUUCCUUAUAAUUGAAAUGCCAACGAAGAACCAUAAUGAACCAGAAAUGGCAAUGCCUAACCUUGAAUUCCCCCUAAAUUUGUGUUCCUCCUCAAUCAAUGCACAUCAUUUAUUCAAUUAUGCAUAUUCUUCCCCCUUUCGGCAUCAUAAAAAGAAGAAAAACAAGUAAAAGCAAAAAUAAGUUCAGUGUGGUUAACUCAUGCCACAUGUGUGCACACAAAUAUAAUAGAAGACAGGGACAUAAGAGUAAUGUAUACACAACAAAAAGGGAAAAACUUUCUUUAAACAAUUUGGAUUUUACGACAGGAGCAGUUUCAAUGUUGCCAGCAACCAUCCACAAUUCAAAACAAAAAAAAAACAAGUACCAACGAUAAAAGAUCAUUAGAAAAGUCAUAAAAAUCGGACACUUAAAACUUGACACUGGAAGGGACACUAUUUAGGGAGAACUAGAGGAAGAGGGCUUAGAGGAGGGGCAAGGGUUUUGAGGACUAGAACAAUUCAAGCAUUCGCCGAUAUUUGCUCAUUGAGAAGUCUUUGUUUCAGGUCCUCCACUUGUUUCUUGAGCUCAACAUUCUCCUUAGUCAAACGGGCAGCCUUUGAGCUUUGAGAACUACUGUAACCAUGUGCCUCCUAAAGCUGACUGAGCUGACCCUCAAGAAUAGCAUUUCUUGCUUUUAACUUCCUGAUCUCCUCUGUAGCACUGUUCUAAGCGUUGAUCAAUUGAGAAAUGGUAGAAGUGCUUCCAACUCCUCCAACUUUAUCAAAUGCACUCAUAUUCUUCGAGAGUGGUCUUGGAGAAAGUUUGCUUCCUAGUUCCCACUUUAGCUUAUCCCAGAGGGACCUUGAAGAACUCAAAAACCUUGGUGAGAAGGAACCCAUAAGGCAGCCCAUGGUUACCAUCUUUGAACUCUGCCAUUUUUUGCAUGUGUUCAAUCAUAAUCCCAUGCAGGUUAAUGGUAGUGAAGCCAUCCAGCGCUUCCAUGAGAACCAUGUUGGCUCUAGAGGUAAUGGAUCUUCUCUCAGCUCGGGGAAGCACCACUUUAUUCACCAUCUCAAACAUCAAUUGGUACAUUGGAAGGAGAGCCUUCUUGUGCACACGUUCACCCUGCUGGAUUGCCUUGUCCUUAACAAUAGCAUUUCUAAAAUUGGAAGAGCGUGAUCCUUGGAUUGAUGACAACCCUUCAGCAGGCACACCCAAAAUCGACCCCAACAAAGUAGAGUCCAUCACAAUGUCAACCCCAUUCACCAGUACGCAGAUGUGAUCAUCCUCAACUUUGAAGAAGUCGGCAUAAAAGCUUUGUACUUCAUCCUCACAACUUUUGGAGCAUCAUUUGUAAACAAGUAUGUCCAUUGCUGGAAUUCACAGAUUUCAACCAAUUGCCGCACUCCGGCCAGCUCCAAAAUGUCAGGGGCAAAUGUGCGGCCCCAUUGUACCUUCCGAUUCCUCAAUUUUUCUUUCCCAGCACUCUGGGAUUCAUCAACUUUGGCUUUCUUGGAGGAACCGGGUUCCUCUUCGACAUCAACUUUCCUUUUCACAUGCUUGCGAGCAGUUUUUCCCUUCUCAACGGACUUUGCAGACACUAUUUUCUCAGACACAUUUUCACCAGAAUCUUCCAUCACCUUAUUACCAGAUGUUUCACCACCUUCUUCUACUAUCUUGUCGCAAGAUUCUUCCACCAAAUUGUCACUAGAGAUAACAUCAUCACUCUUGUUUGGACUCUCAAUACUCAUAGAAAAUUUCUUUUUAGACUUGGAGAAAGAGUGCUUCUGUGAGCGCUUGUGAGUCAAGGAACCAGGUUCCUCGUCCACUUCAUCAUCCAUAGUGACAACAUGCACUACAUUUUCAUGUACAACCUUCCCAUCCUUCACCAAUUUCCUCCUCCUUUGAUUGACUUGACUUUUCUUAAGAGCGGACUCAAGAGCCUCCUUCUUUUGCAAUCUUGUAGUGGGUCGCUUAGGAGUUGGCUCUAAAGUAGAAACCGGUCUAAGCCUAGCCGGAUAAAGCUAGCAAUAGCUAUAUCAUCGAAAUCCUAUUCAUUAUCCCCAUUCUCUUCACCAGAUACAGAUCUCAUCUCAGGCACCACCACAUACAGAGGCUCAGCAUAAACAUAAGGAGAGAGAGUAGGGUCAAUACUGACCUGGGGCUCUUGAGAGGACCCCUGAGUUGGAUCCUCCGAGGAGGGAUCAGGUCCUUCAUUAGGUACCCAGUAGUAUUGUCCUAUGUUGAUUGUUCAACAGGCACAAGCUCUCUACCUUCUACCAAGGUCUUAGGCUCUUCCCCGUAAGGCUCAGACCCAUCCUCACCUCCUUCGAUAAUAACCCCUUCAGCCACUAUAGAUGGCAUAUUUUCCAUUGUUUUUUUCUCUUGUAACUCCAUGAAAAAUGCAGGAGAAGGAGGAGUGUUACCUGUGGACUCAAGAAUAGGAACUGUCUUUGUUGAUUCAGCAUUCUUAGGACCAGCAGUUUGGUCUACAUUUGAGCCUUCUUCCAUAGGAAGACUGGAGAUCUCCUGAUUUUCCUCUUCAUCAACUGUACCCUUUUCACCCAGUUUUUCCGGUGAGGCGGGAUGAGAGCUCGUAGCCACAAACCUUUUAGGAGUCGAGGUUUUGCGGCUCUGAUGAGAAACAGAACUCGAUUGGGUAAGAGAGGAGACUGAGUGUAGUGGUGACUCUGUCCUAGGGUUUUAGUUAGUUGUGGAGUUGAGUGAGGAGUCUAACAUCGGUGUUUUAACUGGUAGAGACUCAAUGGGGGUGUUACUUGAAACACCUGAGGCUUCUUGAUUUUCAGUUAUGGUGAGAAGUGAUGAGUUUAAGAGGAGGUAUUGGGAGUUUGAAGAGAGAAAGAAGAAUUUUUUUUUUGAAGUUUGAUGUGAGGAGUUGUGACAGUGAUGGAUGUAUUUAAGAUGGAUGAGGGACCGGUUAAGAAAAUGCGACAAUUUUAGGAAACGGGUCGCUUACCAAUGGGAGAGACCUUUGGGUUCAAAAGACACAAAGAAAAGAAACUGACACACUGAUGAUGUGGCACUGUUUUAUCUGUUCAAAAUUGUGCAUGAGAGAACAGAGAAACUACUAACCUGUGUUAGGAGAACCAGGUUUCCUGGCGGAUCUUGCAAGUGUAAGGUUUACCCUUUUUACCAGCAUGCACUGCAUCAACUGCUCUGUAAUAAUUAUGCGUGUGUACCUAUAACGGUAUAAGAUGAGUUAGACUUUGCCAGAAAAUACUUUUUAGCUAAUUUUACCUGUACAUUUCUUUUGUAGCCAAUCAUUGAGGGACCAGGUUCUCAGUUGGGUUUUAUCAACCCCAGUGUCGGGCGAUUUCUUUCAAAAUGUUCUCUGCUCAAGGCUUUGGUGAAUAUGUCUGCAAUCUGAUCUUCUGUGCUGCAGAAUUUCAUACAGAUGAGCCCUUUUUCAAUAUUGUCUCUGAGGAAGUGGUGACGCACAUCAAUGUGCUUGGUUCUCUUAUGUUGGACUGGAUUUGGCCAUGUUGAGUGCACUUGUAUUGUCGCACAGGAGGGGCACACAGUCAGAGAACACUCCAAAGUCUUCCAACUACUGUUUGAUCCAUAACAAUUGAGCACAUCAAGAAGUACCUGCUAUAUAUUUCGCUUCUGCAGUUGAGAGUGCCACUGAGUUUUGCUUCCUUGUACCCCAUAAGAUUAGACAGGAACCCAGAAAAUGUGCCAUUCGAGACGUGAUUUUCCUAUCCACCAGAUAUCUUGCAUAAUCAGCAUCAACAUACCCAACAAGAUCAAAGUUGUCUCCUGAGGGAUAGUAGAGAACCAGGUCUUGUGUUUCUUUGAGAUAUCUCAAUAUUCUUUUGGUAGCCUUCAAAUGAGAUUCCUUUCGAUUAGACUGAAACCUUGCAUAGAGACACACGCUGAACACAAUGUCUGGUAUGCUUGUAGUGAGAUAUAAUAGCGACCCUAUAAUACCUCUAUACAUGGUCUGAUUUACAGGGGAGCCAUGUCCAUCCAUGUCUAGAUGAGUGGUUGUGGCAAUAUGAGUGUCAAUAACUUUUGAUGUUUCUAUGUCGAAUCUUUUUAGCAGCUCUUUGAUGUACUUAUGCUGACUUAUCAGUGUUCCCUUUUGAGAUUGCUUCAUCUGAAGUCCCAAGAAUAAACUUGAUUCUCCCAUCAUGCUCAUCUCAAACUCACUCCCCAUGAGUUUUGCAAAUUCUUCACAUAGAGAGUCGACUGUGGAUACAACGAUGAUAUCAUCAACAUAUACUUUCACAAUGAAUAGGUUCCUCCCUCGUUUCUUCUGAAAAAGAGUGUUGUCAAUUUUCCCUCUUGUAAAUCCAUUUUUUAGAAGAAACUUUGACAAUCUUUCAUACCAAUCCCGGGGAGCCUGCUUUAGCCCAUACAAUGCUCGUCCAGUUUGAACGCGCGCUCAGGAUGCUUGUGAUUCUCAAAUCUAGGUGGCUGCUUGACAUAAAAUUCUUCUUUUAGGAAGCCAUUCGAAAAUGCACUUUUGACAUCCAUUUGUAACAAUGUGAACUUCAUAUGAGAUGCAAAGACAAUAAGAAUUCUGAUAGCUUCCAUUCGAGCAACUGGAGAAAAAGUUUCAUCAUAGUCAAUCCCUUCUUCCUGGUUGUAGCCUUGAACUACAAGCCUUGCCUUGUUUCUUGUUGUAUUUCCAAACUCAUGGAGUUUGUUAUUGAAUACCUACCUGGUUCCUAUAAUAGUUCGAUCUGUAGGUCGAGGAACCAGGUGCCAUACCUUGUUCCUUUCAAAUUGAUGCAGCUCAUCUUGCAUGGCUGUGAUCCAAUCUACAUCUUUCAAUGCUUCUUUGAUAUCUUUGGGCUCUAUUUGAGAAAGAAAAACUGAGAAGGCAAGUGAGUUUCUAGUUUUUGACAUGGUUUGAAUUCCUGAGUCAAGAAGAAUGAUUAUGUUGUCAAGAGGGUGUGAAAUUUUGUGCUUCCAAUUUGGUACCUGAGCCUCAUUGGUAGAAAACCCAGGUAUAUCUGACUGAGGUUCUUGGCCGCUUCUUAUUUCUACAAGUGGAGUACCUUGUACUGCAUCGACAACUCUGUUUGCAGCUUCAGUUGUUGUGAUUGUGGGACCAGGUUCUUCUCCAAUGGAUGGAGAUGUAGUUGCAUCAUCUUCACUGGAUUCCUUGACAUGACUCAUCAUGUCUGCCUUUCUACUUUCCAUGUCAAUGACUUCACCUGGAACAUAUAAAGGUUCUCAAUCUUGAUCAUCAUGUAUGUCCUUCUCACAUGAGAGGUGAGAUUCAUCAAAGAUCACAUGUAUACUCUCCUCAACACAUUGAAUUCUUUUGUUGUAUACUGUGUAAGCUUGCUUUGGGACGAGUAUCCCAGAAAGAUUCCUUCAUCACUUUUGGCAUCAAAUUUUCCAAGAGCUUUCUUGCCAUUGUUGAGAAGAAAACAUUUGCAGUCGAAUGUCCUCAAAUGCGUCAGCUUGGGCUUUCUUCCAUUCAGCAACUCAUAAGGUGUUUUGUUUAUAAAGGACCGAUCAUGCACAUGUUUAUCAAGUAACAUGCAGUGUUGACUGCUUCUGCCCAGAAAGUUUUUGCAAUGCCACUGUCAAUUAGAAUUGUCCUUGCCAUAUCUUCAAGAGUCAUGUUCUUCCUCUCGACAACAACAUUUUGUUGUGGUGUUCUUGGAGUUGAGAAAUUAUGAGUAAUGCCAUUUUCGACACAGAAUUCAUCUAAUUUGGCAUUAUCAAUUUCUGUCCCAUGGUCAGAUCUGAUGCAAGCUACAUUACUUCCCAUCUUCACUUGUAUUUUCUUGACAAAUGCAACAAAUACUUAGAAGGUUUCAUCCUUGGUUCUGAGAAAUAGGGUCCAAGUGAAUCUGGAGUAGUCGUCCACUAUCACAAAGAUAUAUCUUUUUCCUCCUAUGUUUGGCACCCUCAUAGGUCCACAUAGAUCCAUAUGAAGUGCUAACUUCCUUUUUGAGCUUGAAUGAGGAUCUGACAUGCUUUCUUUUUGCACACGCAUCAAAUACCUUGUGUUCCUUGAAGCUUGACUUGGGCAGACCACGAACCAGGUCCUUUUGGACUAGCUUGUUCAGUAGUGGAAAGUUUUCAUGCCCCAUCCUUCUGUGCCAUAAUUCAGCAUCAUCAUCAAUAUCUCUUAAACAUUUGAGAUCACCACUCUCUUGGUCAAGACAUCUUUUUCUCAAGCUCUUAGACAACUGAGAUCGUCUCUUUCAAGCUCAGUGUUAGCAACUCUUUUGGUCAAGACAUCUUUUUCUUUUUCAACACUCUUAAUGGUUUCGUUCAAAUCAACCACCACUACUACUAGAUAAUCUCUCUCAAGUUCUAAGUUAGCAACUUUUUCAAUUAAAACUUCUUUCUCUUUCUUAGUACACUCAAUAAUCUCUUUUAAAUCAACCACAACAACUACUAGAUCAUCUCUUUCAUGUUCUACGUUUGCAAUUUUUUCAGUUAGGGCAUCUUUUUCUUCUUUCAAACUCUCAAUAGUUUCUUUCAAAUCUACCACAACGACUACUAGAUCAUCUCUAGAUUGUUCUGCUUCUCUUAAUUCCACAAUUAGAGAAUUUUUAUUAUUUAUAAGACUGUGGUAUGCAUCUAUUAAAACAUUUGCCAAAGACAUGAGUUUUUUUAGGAGAAUAAAAUUUCAGAUUUCUCUAAACAUCUAGAAAAUUUACCUCAUUAUCGUCGUCGUCAUCUCCAUCAUCAUCAGACUGAGCCAUCAAGGCAAAAUAGAGUCAUAUUUAGUUGCUUCACUUUUUACUGCCAUCAUUGAACUGUCACUAUGAUCAUUAUCUUCUUCAGAUUCGCUGGAGGAGUCUCCCCAUGCAUCAAGAGCUUGCUUCAAAACAUUGUCAUCGGUAUUCUUUCUCUUGAAAUGUUUAUUAGGAACCGAGUUCCUCUUAGCUGCUUUGUCUGUGUUGUGCUUGAAUUGAUCUUGCUUUAAGAGGGGACAGUCCUUGAUGAAGUGUCCUGGCUUGCCACAUUUAUGACAUAAGUCAUAUUUUUUUGUCUUGCUAUAACUGCCCCUUUUUGGAAUGCCUCCAUUUUUGCGAACCAUUUUCUGAAAUCUUCUUGUCAAGUAAGCCAUAUCACCAUCCUCACCACUUGAAUCAUUGUUGUAUGUCUUAAGGACCAGAUUCUUCUCUCUUUUGGGUUCUCUUCUUUCAUUGUCCUUCUUUUUCUUCAUUUCAUACGUUUUCAAAUUGCCAACAAGUUCAUCAAUGGUCAGCUUCUGCAAGUCCUUUGCCUCUGUGAUAACAUUCACUUUGCUUUCCUAGGAACUGGGCAGUACACUAAGUAUUUUCCUAACAAGUUUGUUUCUUGGAAGAAUUUCUCUAAGAGAGUGAGGCUCAUUAAUGAUAGAUGUAAAGCGAGUAUGCAUAUCUUGGAUGGAUUCACCAUCAUUCAUCCUGAAGAGCUCGUAUUCAGUUGUGAGUAUGUCGAUCUUGGAUUGCUUGACAUGUGUUGUUCCUUCAUGAGUUGUUUGGAGAGCUUUCCAGAUUGUUUUGGCUGACUGGCAUGCCGAUAUCCUGUUGUGUUCAUAAGGACCAAUACCAUAAACGAGAAUUUUCUUUGCACGGAAAUUCUUUUCUAUGGAUUUUCGGUCGGCGUCAUUGAAUUUUUUUCUUGUUUUGGGGAUGGUUAUAGUAGGAUCGCUACUGGUUUUUAUGGGAACGAAGGGUCCAUCACAGAUGACAUCCUAGAGCUCGAAAUCCUCAGCCAUGAUGAAGUCAUGCAUCCUGGUCUUCCACCAUCCAUAAUACUGGCCAUUGAACCUUGGUGGUCUGUAGGUACAUUAGCCUUCUUCAAAGUUUGGUGGAGCAACCAUGAGGAUCCUUUCUAGGUGUUCGCCUGAUAGAAAGAACCUGCUAUGAUACCAAUUGAUAGAAUUCUAAGGUCCACCAAACUAUAUAGAGAACCAGGUUCUCUAUUAGUUUCCAUAGAUUACGCACACACAACAGUAAGUAAAUGACACUGAAAAAUUUUACAUGGAAAAUUUUCAGCUCACGGGAUUAAAAACCACGACCUACUCUUGUAGGAUUUUAAUUUCAUUACUGAGAAAACUUUUAGAUUACAACCUAUUGUAACCUAGGAAUUAACUUCUUAAUCCCUCACUAACUUGUAACAAUCCUAUUACAAGUCACUUUGUAAUACCUCUAUUACAAAGACUUUACAACUCGACUAACUCUAGCUAAGACACAAACACAAAGGUUUAUGAUUUACAAAAGGGUUUCCUACACAGUGAUUCUAAGUAAGCUAAGUAGGAAUUUCAAGUAAGAACUUUGACAAAGGUACAACUCAACUAAGGACAUAUAAUAACUUGCUAUGGGGAACUGGUCUGUAGCAGUGUUGUUCUUUGUUCUUGAUGCACUUGAGAAUCGUUUUCUGGAUGAUCAAUCACUGUGGGAGUGCUUGAGUGAAUUCUCCAGGUGUUCAAGUGAUGUUUUAUCUUUGGUUUAAUGUUAAUAUAACAUUGCUAACAUCACUUAAAUGAUGUAAGCAACUUGGGUAUAAGAUCCUUCCCAAUGCAAUUGAUUGUUGCACUGUGUUGUACUGUUGCGUGUGCAGCCAGCCACUUUUUAGCUGUUAGAGGGUUGACUGGUACGAUCACCAGGAGAACUGAUGUCCAUAUGUUCCCCUUGUUGAUUAUUUAUCUUCUGAAAGACUAACGAACCUCUCAAGCUUAAGUCUGGUUAUUUCCACAUGCUUAAGAAUGUGUAUCAUGUUCCUUAUCUAGUUCUUGACAUUAAGUUUGUUAGAUCAUCAAAACAUAAAACAAGGUACUUAUAACCUAUCAUAGGAAAUUAGCCAUAUAUAAAGUGUAUUUGUAAAUGGAGGUCCUAUUCUUCUGAUGUUUAUUGUUGUCUAUUUUCAGGAAAAUAUGACACAAACUGCGUGAAGAGUAUGUCUUUGUUAUUGAAAAAGAAGUUCAUUACAUAUUUGUAGCAGCGUUAGACUAUAAGUUUAGAUUAAUUGAUUAUGUAAAAGUGAGGGUUAGAGAAAGAAGAAAGAAAAGGGUCGGAUGAAUAAGUACUCAAGUAAUGGAGAGAUACAUUUGAUUAAUUCUUUUCCUUUU
rnacentral:lncRNA from 1 species